rnacentral:rRNA from 1 species
CAGGUGGUGCAUGGUUGUCGUCAGCUCGUGUCGUGAGAUGUUGGGUUAAGUCCCGCAACGAGCGCAACCCUUAUUGUUAGUUGCCAUCAUUAAGUUGGGCACUCUAACGAGACUGCCGGUGACAAACCGGAGGAAGGUGGGGAUGACGUCAAAUCAUCAUGCCCUUUAUGUCCUGGGCUACACACGUGCUACAAUGGCCAGAACAGAGGGUUGCUAAGGGGCAACCUGGAGCUAAUCCCUUAAAAACUGGUCUCAGUUCGGAUUGCAGGCUGAAAUUCGCCUGCAUGAAGUCGGAAUCGCUAGUAAUCGCGGAUCAGCAUGCCGCGGUGAAUACGUUCUCGGGUUU